GUGCUCUCCUUGGCAGCGUAGAUACUAAAAUGGAAACAGCAUAGAGAUUAGCAUGAUCCGUGUGCACGAGUGACACGCAGAUGUGUGAAGCAUUCCAUACUUUU
ensembl:snRNA U6 U6 spliceosomal RNA